AACGAACGCUGGCGGCAUGCCUAACACAUGCAAGUCGAACGAAGGCUUCGGCCUUAGUGGCGCACGGGUGCGUAACGCGUGGGAAUCUGCCCUUUGGUUCGGGAUAACAGCUGGAAACGGCUGCUAAUACCGGAUGAUGACGAAAGUCCAAAGAUUUAUCGCCAGAGGAUGAGCCCGCGUUGGAUUAGGUAGUUGGUGGGGUAAAGGCCUACCAAGGCGACGAUCCAUAGCCGGUCUGAGAGGAUGAUCAGCCACACUGGGACUGAGACACGGCCCAGACUCUUACGGGAGGCAGGAGUGGGGAAUAUUGGACAAUGGGCGCAAGCCUGAUCCAGCAAUGCCGCGUGAGUGAUGAAGUCCCUAGGGUUGUAAAGCUCUUUUACCCGGGAAGAUAAUGACUGUACCGGGAGAAUAAGCCCCGGCUAACUCCGUG
rnacentral:rRNA from 1 species